UGGGUGCAGGACGUGAUGAAAAAGGGGA
rnacentral:sRNA from 1 species